UGAUGGUGUACCUUGAUAUUAUCCUGUUGUAAUUUUAUAAUUUCGUUCGUGCAAGUGUGAAAGGUGUCCCUUACAAAAAUGAGCGAAAAGAGUAGGAUAGGUUGUUUCCGGCCCUCGGAUAAAACACGUUGUAGCC